rnacentral:rRNA from 1 species
UGGGGAAUAUUGCACAAUGGGGGAAACCCUGAUGCAGCGACGCCGCGCGAAGGAAGAAGUAUCUCGGUAUGUAAACUUCUAUCAGCAGGGAAGAUAGUGACGGUACCUGACUAAGAAGCCCCGGCUAACUACGUGCC